rnacentral:rRNA from 1 species
UACGUAGGUGGCGAGCGUUGUCCGGAUUUACUGGGCGUAAAGAGCGCGCAGGCGGCUGGUCAAGUCCGAUGUGAAAGCUCCCGGCUUAACUGGGAAAUUGCAUCGGAAACUGAUCGGCUGGAAGGUGGGAGAGGGUAGCGGAAUUCCCGGUGUAGAGGUGAAAUGCGUAGAUAUCGGGAGGAACACCAGUGGCGAAAGCGGCUACCUGGCCCAGUCUUGACGCUGAGGCGCGAAAGCUAGGGGAGCAAACGGG